CUGGUGUGACAUAGGCAGGGAGUUGGAUCGACGUGAUGAUGCCUACAGGAGGAGAUGGUUGACAAUGUCUUCCCUUGAGGAGAAGUUAGAAAUGAAGAAUUUGUCAAUCAAACAUGAACAGCAACACAUGGGAAGAGGUCACUCUUCUAAGAAAAGACAUAAAGUCACUGUCAGUGAUUAUGAUGUAAGAUACAUGUACAUGUAUGCCCUAAACCCUUCUCUCUUGGUCUCUACUUCCUCCUUCUCCAGUUGUGUCUUCUAUAGUAGGGCCACACUGACUUUGCCAUUUUAAAUUUUGAAUAACUUUCUUAUUUUAAGUGCUAUAAACGGCGGUGUUUCACUUUUGUGCAAUGCUUGGAUUUUGGGUUCCUUUGAUAUAAGAUAAUAGUAGAGCGAAGCUUGUCAAAGUGAAAGAAAAAAAUCAAAGCACGAGGCCACUUAGCAAGUACUUACGCCAUUACUACCACCUACGCUUCGUGAACACGUGGGCAGCAAGCUGACUGCAAGAAAGAUGGCGGCGAUUCAACAGCAGAGGGAACGGGAAGGAAAUAAGACGAAAAGGACAAAGAAUAUGACUGGAAUCACAGGCGAAGACAAUUAGAGGCAACGUUUAAGAGGACAGCAUACGCUACAACCACGCAGAUGGUUUUCUCUUCUUUGAGGACCACUACUGGCAGAAUGAUAGGCUUGGUGUACAAGCAAGACUUAGUGUGUCUGAGUUUAUUUGUUACUCAUGUCAGUUGUGAAUCCAGUGAUGAACCUGAUUAGAUGAGCAAUCCCACCAGUCAGAUAGCCUGCUGGAACCCAAAACUCGGCCUUUCUCUAUGAUAUCAAGGCAGCAACUGACAAGGCCAUUUGACUAUUUUUUAUCUCUUAUUUUAUAUACUUUUGGUUUUAAUAAAAAUUACAAAUGUACUGUACUUUUUAAUUGCAUUCUUAGUGGUAAACAUUAAGAUAAACAAAUACUUAACAAACACUUAUUCA